rnacentral:rRNA from 1 species
UACAGAGGGUGCGAGCGUUAUUCGGAAUUACUGGGCGUAAAGCGUGCGUAGGCGGUCAAGUAAGUCGGGUGUGAAAGCCCCGGGCUCAACCUGGGAAUUGCAUUCGAGACUGCGUGGCUAGGGUGCGGAAGAGGGAAGCGGAAUUUCCGGUGUAGCGGUGAAAUGCGUAGAUAUCGGAAGGAACACCAGUGGCGAAAGCGGCUUCCUGGUCCAGCACCGACGUUCAGGCACGAAAGCGUGGGGAGCAAACAGG